ACAGAGCUCCCUCGCAGGGGGUAGCCACCAAAGGAGAAGACGUGGGAGUGGUCAGCGGUGACGAGGGUCAGCGUGUCCUCCUCACUGCCCCAGCCCUUGGCCUUGGGGUCUCACGUCAAUGUCCAUGUUGGAGAUGAGCUGCGUGGCGAUGUCCUGGCAGCCCUCCCGGCGGGCGGAGAAAGGCAUGUUGGAGUCCGAGUACCAGUUGCGGUUCACCGUGUGCGCCGGGCCCCAGCUCACCUGCCUUCUUGGCCCGGUUCAUCACGGAGACGACCUCGUUGCCGCGGGUCGUGUUGCACUGGUUAAAGCGGGCCGCUGCGCUCAAGCCGAUGGUCUGGAAGUUGCCCUUGACCCCGCACAGGAUCCUGGCGGCUGUCACCGUAGACACUCCCAUCCCUGAGGGAGCAGAAAUGUGUGAGGCUUGGGCCCCAGGGCUGUCCCGGAAGCCCCGACGGUCCGGGUGCCAGGGCUGCGAGGGCUGCGAGGGCUGCGGGCCGGACAGCCUUGCUCACUCACCGUCGCCCAGGAAGAGGAUGAGGUUCUUGGCGGCUGUCCGUGCGGGCUGCAGCUUCUUGGCGGCAUCCAGGGCCUUGGCUGCCUGACGGUUCCAGAAGGCCGGGUUCUCCUCCUCAACUGGCCAGGGGGAGAGCAAAGAUCAGGUCAGCCUGGGCUGGGGGGCUCCCUGUGUGUAGGGGCAGCGGGGGGAGCCUCAUUACCUGGGAUGAUGCCCAGGGAGAGCUGUAGCCUCAGGCCCAGCAGCAACAGCAGCACCCAGGGUCC